rnacentral:lncRNA from 1 species
UCUUCACAGGCUAUCCAGUCUAGAAGAGGCAUUCAAGACAUUAUAGACAUUCAAGUACUCUUGCAAUACAAUGAUAUGGGUUUUGUACAAAGAAGACACAAAGAAGAGAAGAUCAUUAUAAUAGUUAUAUGGAAGAAAGCUAAAACGGGAUCCAGGCCAGAGACAGUGGAGCCAGAUAAGAGACUAUUGUCAUAAAUAUUAAGGAGGAAAAAUCAACUAGGAUUUGGUCACUGAUUGGCUGCAGUCAAUGAAGUAAAAGAAAGAGGACAUGUCUACCUAGAUAUUCUACCAUCACCUGAAAUCCAGCUUAAUCUAAUUCGAACUCAUCAG